AGCCGGGUGCGCGACUGGCGAUAGGCUCGAGGUUCUCGCAACCAUCGAAGCUGACGUGGGACACCACUGGGAAGCGCACCGCUGAAAGCCGUUGGGCCGAAGCGUUCAGCCGUUCGCCUGGGCAGCCCUU
rnacentral:ncRNA from 2 species